CUUCUCCAGAUCUAAUUAACAGGCGGGAAGUUCAGAUUCUGUAUCCAGGCGCGAGCUCUUUGUGGUCUUUUAGGGCGCUCACGAUUUCCCUCAAGCGGCUAAAUUCUGUGAUUUGGAUUUCUUCAAACUUCAGCCAAAAUUGAUUUCUUUGAGCUCCUUCCUACAAGAAGGCCUUUACGUGUGUGGGUCUCUGCCCUUAAUAAGAGGUUGUGAUGACUGAAAGCCCACCAGCCAUCUUGUCAAUGAGAUAAUACAUGCUCUGGAUGGCAGAAGAGAAAAAUGGAAGAGCUACAAUAUCAGAUUGGGCUGCCUAAUGCUAUAUGAAAGAAAAAUAAAUUCCUCAUUUGUCUAA